CGAGCGUGUUCACUCUCUGUAGCCAUCACUUUUCUGCUGUGAGAGAAUAACCCGGCAAGAGACUUUACAACAACCUUAUGAAACUGGAAGGAAGUAACUGGGGCUCAGAGACACAGAGAUCAUACCUCUGAAGAGUUGAUGGAGCCAAUUAGAUGCCGAAAACAAACUUUAAACUUAAUUCCUGUGUGGAUUGAAGAUGCAACACCCACUGUAGUCUCAUGUGUUUGGACACUUGAUCUCCAACUGUUCGUGCUGCUAGGAAAAGUUUUGGAACCUUGGGAAGGCAGUGCUUCACUGGGGGUGCUGGGUCAUUGUAGGAAGGCCUUGAGGGCUUCUAGCUCUGCCCUACUUCCAGUUAACCCUAUGCUCCCUGGCAGCAGAUAAAAUGUGAUCAGCCAGGCUUCUAGUUCCUGCCCUCAUGCUCUCCCCACCGUGAUGAACUGAAGCUGUAAACCAAAAUCAACCCUUCCUUUCUUUAAUGGUUUUUGUUACACAAACAAGUAGCUAAUGCAGUCUCCUAAUUCCAAUUCUAGGUUAAGAUAUUCUGUGAAUCCAUCAUGAUAAUUUUAGUUCUGUUGUCUUCUCUAAUGCAGCCAUCAGGGACCAGUUUUAAAACAUUUAAAUGUUGAAGCCAGAAGAGAUUUGAAUCCCAUCAAUCCAUCCUCAUCCUACUACAAAGAAGAAAAACGAAGCCUUAUCUCAGAACCAACUGGCACAAGGCUACAAACCUUGCUAAACUUCAAGAUUGUUGAUUAUUGUUUCCCAAAUCAGUGCACAGAAAAAGAUAGCCAGGAGGUACAGCAAUUGUUAGGGAAAACCAUGGUUGAUGUGUGAAACAGAAAGUGACUCUGAAAAUGGGUUAUCCAGGCACUGUUGCUAAGAAACUCACGCUGUGUCUGUGUAUCCAUCAUGGAAAGGGAGGCUUCAGUGAUUCAUUGACUUCAGCCCAGUUAGCUAUAGUGUACAAGAACAUAGACUCUGAAACUUUUACAGAUCUACUUCCUUUGACAAGGUUUUAAACACCUCAUGGCUCUUUAUUUACAAAGAUGAAGAUUGGGCCUACUGCUGCCUCUUGCUUUCUGCUUCUUGGAGAAUGUUUGAGGAUCCAGUUUCUUCCUACAGAAAACCAUCUGCACUCCUGUAGAUAAACGGGAUCUCUAUGGGCCCACAUGCAAAUUUGCAAAGAUCUCAUGAAAGCAGAGAUGGGUCAAAAAUCUGAUAAGAGGAAUUUAUAGAAAUAUACAUUCACAAUAAACUAGGAUCUCUGUUUUCUGAAGGCUUUUGAAAAAUCACCCUCCAUAAAUGAAGUCAAUUUGUAUGGCUUUUUAAAUUAAGAAUUUGUCUACUUUGGAAAUCACACUUUUACAAAUAACAGGUAUUUGUAAAAUUGGGCAGGACCAGACUUGGAGCCUGGAGAGCAGGGUCCACUAUCACCCUCAUUUCCUAUCUGCAUGACUUUCAAAAGUUAGGCCAUGAAUGACCUUUCAAAGACUUGGUGUGCUUAUUGCAAAAUGGAGAUAAUAACAUUAACACCCAGAGUUUAAACUUCGAG
ensembl:lncRNA